AUAUAUGUAUCUCUCUGUACAUGUAUAUGUGUUUGUAUGCAUAUUUUAUCUCACUACAUCUUCGGUCACGGACUGGUGUCAAUUCUCUUCGCAGUGAAUCUGGCAUCGCAUUUCAGUUGCAAAAGAAGCAGCGAUGCCAGAUUCUGCUGUGAAGUUGCCAUUGACUGCAGAAAAUGUUGAGGGUGUGCUGGAUGAAAUCGGCCCUAUCUCAUUGCAGACCGUGGUAAAGUGGCACUACACAAAAUUGAGGGAAAUGUUGUGAGGUUGAACCUACAAGGACAUGCAGCUCUUGUCCAAGUUCUGUGACGACUAUGAAGAUGGGUAUCGAGAUUCAAGCGUCGUUUAAUAGGAAAAAAAAUCCCUGAAAUAGUUGCUUUGGAACCAAUAGCAUGAGGAAACUGGCCUUGAGCUGAAUGAAGAAAACAUAGAGAAGAAGUUACCAGAAAGAUUCAUCUCAAAACAUUGUUUCUUCAGCCCAAAGGAGCUGAGCGUCCAAGAAGUCCAAGUGCUUUGACAAGAGUCUUUCUAAACCUUACAACAUCAAUAUUAAAAUUCUGCUUUAUAAGGUACAUCGCCCUACCAACCUCAUACCCUUUCGAGGUUAUGGAUUUCAGAUCAACAAUGACAGGGUGAUCUUUGCCAUCUAAAGAGAUGAGAGAGCUUUCCUCUGGUUCAAUUUUGUAAUCUAUGUAAUUCAAACCCAUUCCUAGAGCUGGGAUGCCAAAGUAAGUGUUCGAUAUCCAAUCUAUGCCCAGCCCCACCACUUGCACCAGGACAGCCCCUUCUGGCAAGAAGACAGCAUUUGUAAGCCCAGCACCGUGGGCACCAACCAAUAUGCUGCACGAGUUUACUAUCUCUGCAAAAAUUUUCCAUAUUAGCCAUCAUAUCAGGCUGUGCGAUGACAACUCUGAAACCCAAUGCCUUCAUCAUGGUCACCAUCUCAUCUUCAUUCAUAAAAACUCUUGAGUUUUUGCGAGAUAUAAGUAUCAACAUGGGUUUUUCCGUCUGUGAUGUCUGCGAUGAAUCUUGUAUCUUUAGAUUGUAAGAAUCUCAGAGAAACAUCUUGAAAUCAAGCAUGGAGUAACCUUUGGGGAUUUCUGCUGUCUCAAUGGCAAGAUGGUCAUGGUAGUGAAGCCCGACAACUGCUCCCGGAGAGCAAUGCACGCUUACAUUUGCUGUUGGAUUAAUGACUUCAUAGCUUGGCAAAUGGGAGAAAAUUUUCUUAUAUUUACCCAUGGCCUGAAGUCUGAAAUCGGUGACCAUCAAGAGGCGAGAUUGGAAGUGGCGACUAGUGAGGAACAAAGGAAUGAUUAAAUGGGUAAAUUCAUGGAAUAUGUUUCCCGUGGAUCCGCCAGAUGAGAAAACUAUGGCGGGGACAUCAUGAGUGUACUCACAAGGUGGAGGAGGGGUGGAGAUGUUUCCCCAAAGUAUCUGCGCUGACGAAAUGGCCGUUCCUGUGAUCCACUUAUCUUCCUUCUUCGUGUAUGGAAUGAUUAUGCGAACGUCUUCAGGCAUACCUUGAUCGAAUGGUACAUAAACCUUCAUUAUAAGUGUAUCGAUCCUUACUGGUACACUUAUCUUCCUUCUUCGUGUAUGGAAUGAUUAUGCGAUCGUCUUCAGGCAUACCUUGAUCAAAUGGUACAUAAAUCUUCAUUGUAAGUGUAUCGAUCCUUUACUGGUCUAUUGGACACACAAACUUCAGUGUGAUAGUCAUAAUGGCAAGCUGAUCCGGUCGCUUCCAGUUGAGUUUGAUUCUUAAUUCCUGUAUGCAUGCAUGCAAUUCCAUUGGAUAAACAAACUAGACUUGAAUAUUAGUAUCUCAGAUUUCUAUUAGUUGAAUCCAUGUUUUGAAGCAAAUUGAGAGAAGGAAGAAUGACCAAGGAUCAUGUCAUUGGAGAUUUUCCUCCUGCUUGUAACUAAGAUUUAUAGACUUCUGCUGAUGUUGAAUACUGAAAAUGCAGAAGUCGAAGAAGAAGAAGGAGAAACCUUUCUGUAGUCUUUUCAUGAGAAAAUGCAUGCGAUGUUGUUCUUCUAUGCGACUCCCGCCCGAAUGCGUUUUCUUCCCUGCCAUUUCCAAGCAAUGAUAUUGACCAAGUCAAUGUGUAGAGCAAGGAGAGGAGAAGCAAGCAGGAAAAUGGAGUUGCGGUUAAAACCAGGCUUCUUGGCACCUUCUCCAUCUUCCAACAAUCUGAAAGCCUACCCAAGGUUUUUGCAUUAACCUACGCAAGCAUGAACAACCAUGAAUCUGUACAGUUGCAAAAGAAGCAGCGACACCAGAUUCUGCUGCGAAGUUGCCAUUGACUGCAGAAAAUGUGGAGGGUGCACUGGAUGAAAUCGACCCUAUCUCGUUGCAAACGGUGGUAAAGAGAAGGUGGUAAAGUGGCACUACAUGAAAUUGAGGGAAAUGCUGUGAGGUUCAACCUACGAGGAGCAUGCAGCUCCUUUCCAAGUUCUGUGACAACUAUGAAGAUGGGUAUCGAGAUUUGAGCGUCGUUUAGUGGGAAAAAAAAUCCCUGAAUAGUUGCUUUGGAACCAAUAGCAUGAGGAAACUGCCUUGAACUGAAUGAAGAAAGCAUAGAGAAGGUAAUAGUACAUCUGCAUUUGUCGUCGUCUAAUAAGUACUAUGGCAUCUGCAUUCGUUUCAUAUAAAAUGAUAUGGCUCGUGUUGACUGCUGAGUCUACCCUUUAGUUAGAGACAUGAACGAACAUAGUAUAACUGGGAGAAAUGGUGAGUGUAGACAUGACACUGGGAAUAGAUGUUCAUUCCUAGCUAUUCCUUAAUCCUAGUUAGCAGCAAAAGCUUAGUCUGAUUCGAAGUUUAAUCUGGUCAGACGAAUGGAGCCUCAUUGUUAAUCUGGUGGGAUUACUCUUCUAGUCCAUAUAAUCCUCCCCAUGGUACUGCAUCUCCCACAGAGCAUAUGCACUUCCACAAAUUUGAGGAGCUUAUGGACUUCAUUUUUGGAUGGAUUAAUUAUUUGCAUGGAGUUGCAUCUAUCCGUUGAGGCUUGUUAUGAAUGGGAUCUAUCCCCAUUAGUUCCUGAAGCACAUUUGCAGCUAGGGAAGGACUUAUUUUGGCAUCUAUGCUUGGGAUUACGAGAGCUCAAUUUGAAGGCGACUCUUUGAAACUUAUUCUGAUGAUCAAUGGGGAAUUGGCUAUUCAUAGAGAUAUAGAAGUUAUUGUGGAGGAUAUUAUGAGAUUGGCAUGUGACUUUCGGGUGUGUGAGUUUAGUUUUGUUAAUCAUAGUGGAAAUGGUGUGACUCACUGUCUAGCUAGUAGGGGUUAUGGUUGUGUAGAUGUCUCCACAUGGGAGGCCUAUCCACUAGAUUGGCUAUAUCUAUGCCUUUGUCCAAGGAUGGAUAUGCUCUUUGAUGGUUUUUCAUCGUACCGUUUAUCUAUGAAUCAGUUAUCCUAUUGGCCAAAAAAAGAAAGCGAAUACCAACACAGAAAUAGAGUACAAUUUACAAAUCGAUGUGUUUCAUCAUUUCUUUCACUUCCAAUAACACAGAUGCCUCUUUCUUUCGUAAUUGUAUCUUCAGAAGUUACUAGAAAGAUUCAUCUCAAAACAUUGUUUCUUCAGCCCAAAGGAGCUAAGCGCCCAAGAAAUCCAAGUGCUUUGACUAGAGUCUUUCUAAACCUCACAACAUCAAUAUUAAAAUUCUGCUUUAUAAGGUACACAGCCUUAUCAACCUCAUACCCUUUCAAGGUUAUGGAUUUCGGAUCAACAAUGACAGGGUGAUCUUUGCCAUAAAGAGAGCCCCACCACUUGCACCAGGACAGCCCCUUCUGGCAAGAAGACAGCAUUUGUAAGCCCAGCACCGUGGGCACCAACCAGUAUGCUGCACGAGUUUAAAAUCUCUGCAAAUUUGUCCAUAUUGGCCAUCAUAUCAGGCUGUGCGACGACAACUCUGAAACCCAAUGCCUUCAUCAUGGUCACCAUCUCAUCUUCGUUCAUAAAGACUCUUGACUUUUUGCGAGAUAUAAGUAUAAACGUGGGGUUUUUCCGUCUGUGACGUCUGUGAUGAAUCUUGUAUCUUUAGAUUGUAAGAAUCUCUGAGAACUUCUUGAAAUCAGCAUGGAGUAACCUUUGGGGAUUUCCACUGUCUUAAUGGCAAGAUGGUCGUGGUAGUGAAGGCCGACAACUGUUCUCGGAAAGCAAUGCGCACUUACAUUUGCUGCUGGAUUAUUGACUUCAUAGCUUGACAAAUGAGAGAAAAUUCUUAUAUUUACCCAUGGACUGAAGUCUGAAAUCGGUGACCAUCAAGAGGCGAGAUUGGAAGUGGCGACUAGUGAGGAACAAAGGAAU